rnacentral:lncRNA from 1 species
UCGCAAUAGCAGUAAGUCAGUAACCCACCCAGUUGCUCGCGAUGGAAAAUUCGCCAUCAAUUUUCCCAUUUCAAUUUGAUUUUCAGAAGCUCUAAUUUCACGCAAACAAUUCGUAACAUAAAUUAAUUUCAUUGUAAAUGGCUGUAAUUUUCUCCUUUCAAAUCUUUUCAAUCCGUUAUUGUAAGAGAAAAGCAGUGGUUGUAAAGUUGUAAACCAUGUCCUUGAGGAGCGGCGGCGGCAGCAAUCAUAGUAAAGAAGACGAACGGAACAAGGAUACUUCUUCUUCACCUUCUACGCUGGAAUCAAGAUUCAAUCAAACUCUCAAAAAUGUUCAAGGGUAUGUGUUUAAUUUUUUACUCGUUAGAUCCAACAGUAAUUAACUUCUAAUUAACCCAGAAUUUUGUUACCAAAGGAAAUCCCAUUUCCCAGUUGGUAACGGGUUUCUUCUGUUUUGGUUCAGAAUUGAAUACCCAUUUGAAAAUUAAUACUGAAAAACCAAAUAGAAUUUAAUUUGAGAAUUCGUUUGAAUUUUAAUCUGGGGAUUAAUUUAACUUCUAUCGUGUUUGUUAGCUGAUACUUAAUGAUCUAAAUUCUAAUUUCAGUAGACGUGGUUGUUUACAUUGUAUAUUUAUGUAAAGUUUUUUCCUUCCUUUUUUUUUUUCGAAUUAUGGAAUCAUGGAACUGCGAUUUGUGUGUGCCAAUAGUGCAAUUAAAAUUGUAUACAUUGCUUAGUUUCGAUGGAUUGUUUCAGUUCUUAACGGUGAAUUAUGUGAUCAAUUUUUAAAUUUCUUUUUACAUUUUUAUUCUUCUUCAUAUUGAGUCAUAUACAGGCAUUUUGAUUAAUGUGCAUCUCUUUUAUCUGUUUCUUAUUUCAAAAAAUCUAUUUGUACAUCACUUUUCUCACAUCAAUUUUCACACUCCUCUCACAAAAGUGGGAUCCGUGAUUAUUUUAAUUGUGGACCCACCCACUCGUAUUUGUGUGUGGUGUGAAAAAAGGUGUGAAGAAAAUUGUACGUGUAGAAUGGUUGUUCUUAUUUUCUGUUAACACGGAUAACAAAUAUUAAGAAAAUUCCCUUCCGGUUGAAAUAGGAGUGGAAAGCCCAUUUCAGGGCAGGACUGCGGCUCAAAUGCAUUUGCAAAUUAGUAUUUAGUGAAGGUACACAGUUUGCCUUUUGUAGUAAAUCAACAAGUUCAAAUAUGUGGAUUAAAUUAAAUAUCGAGUUGAAGCCUCUAUUUUUUUUUAAUUUGGAUUGAAACGAUUACUCAAAGUUUUACUCCAAUAUUCUUAGCAGCUUAUUACACUACUACUUUAUCUGUUUUAUUUUAUUUUAUUUUUUUAUAUACCUAAAUGAAAAAAGAAAAC